ACAAACUAGCCAAAAAAAAAAAAAAAUAGUAGUAGUUCUGCCCUCUGAAGAACAUUCCUUUUACCUUUUAAAAAUAAGCCAUUUGCCCAGUCUCAAUCCGGUGGUAAAUCCCUCCGAGAAUUUGGCCAAAAACAAAAACAAUAUGAAAAUACCCCAAAAGUCAUUAGAUUUGAAAUACUUACCAUUCUGUCCUCUAAAAAAUGGCCUAAAAAAAAUCGCUAGAUCUGAGAUCACUGCCUUCUCUCUCGCCUCUAAAAAUCGACCUCUGAAAUAUGCCGCUUGAAAACCUACUCUGAAAUCCACUCUAAAUCUACGAUCAUCUUCAUCAUCCUGUGGAUUUGAAGCUCCUUGUCCAAAUUUGAAGCUUGGUCACUGCAUCUUCUUCCUCGAGUUACUCUCUCUCCUGGUUUAUCAAUCAUUUCUCCCGGCUCUGUUCUCUCUCUCUCUCUUUCUCUCGCUCNCUCUCUCUCUGAUAUGUUUCCAUCUCCUAUUGUUGGUCUUCCUCUUGCUUCCUAGGAUCAAUAGAAAACUCAAUUACAUCACUCCCCUGCUCUUUAUCUCCAUCCUCGACUUUCUGCCUCUUUUAUGACUACCUAGCUUCUGCCGAAUAAUCUUUUCGGCAAACAGAAACUUGUCAGAAUCUGACCCCAUAUCAGCAAGAGUUUUAUCAGAGAUUGCCUUGCUCACGUGUUGUACUUUUUAAUCUGCCAUGAGAGAAAGAGAGAGAGCAAGAG
rnacentral:lncRNA from 1 species